UACGAAGGGGGCUAGCGUUGUUCGGAAUUACUGGGCGUAAAGCGUGCGCAGGCGGCUUCUCAAGUCAGGGGUGAAAGCCCAGAGCUCAACUCUGGAAUUGCCUUUGAGACUGAGAGGCUUGAGUACGAGAGAGGUGAGUGGAAUUCCCAGUGUAGAGGUGAAAUUCGUAGAUAUUGGGAAGAACACCGGUGGCGAAGGCGGCUCACUGGCUCGUAACUGACGCUCAUGCACGACAGCGUGGGGAUCAAACAGG
rnacentral:rRNA from 1 species